GGCUGUAAGAUGCCUCUCUUGGAAAAACAUAGCCCUUAUAGCAUAUACUUUGAACCGCUAAACUGAUAGUGAAUCACUGAAUUUCUAGCUUUGGUUGAGAUUUCCAAGUUGCUCAAUACUGGCUUGGAUCCUGAAUCUCUUGCUAUCUGCGUCAAACUUUGUGAAGCAGGGGUUAAUCCUGAAGCAUUAGCAACUGUUGUACAAGAAAUCAGACGAGAAGCUGCCGCCCUUCAGACACAAGAUGGCACAUAAAAAGUAUGGAUUCUUAUCAGAGGCAGGCAAUAGUGAAGCCCAUUUGAAGUGGAUAAUAGUUAUUCACUUGCUAUGUUAAUGGCCCCAUAAAUUAGAUGCAGCACAGAUGUCUUGUAUCUCUAUUGGCAUGUGUUAAGGAAAUAGGAAUUAUAUAUAAUUAUUUGUACACAGGCCAACAUAAGUUAGUUUUGAAACAAAAUAAAGCAAAACAGAGAUGAGAAAUGUAAAUACAAACUUUUUCUCAGGUUUUAUUUUGCAAGCUUUGUGUGGGGAUUUGUGCAAAUAUCACAUUGCUGCUAUUUCAUUUUACACAAUGUAUUUUCACUAAAAGUUCUAAUAUCACAGUAUUUUGUAAAUAAAUACAUCUUGGUUCUAAAAUGCUAA